rnacentral:piRNA from 1 species
UUUUUAACCCACUGAGCCAUCUUGCC